rnacentral:rRNA from 1 species
CAAACUGAAGAUGGCGACCGGCGCACGGGUGGAGUAACACGUAUCCAACCUGCCGAUAACUCCGGAAUAGCCUUUCGAAAGAAAGAUUAAUACCGGAUAGUAUACGAAUAUCGCAUGAUAUUUUUAUUAAAGAAUUUCGGUUAUCGAUGGGGAUGCGUUCCAUUAGUUUGUUGGCGGGGUAACGGCCCACCAAGACUACGAUGGAUAGGGGUUCUGAGAGGAAGGUCCCCCACAUUGGAACUGAGACACGGUCCAA